rnacentral:lncRNA from 1 species
UACUUCCAAACAAGAGAUAUAAUUUGCAUUCACUUGUAAUAUUCAAAUGCGGUUCCAGCUUCAGGAAGUGAGUUUCUAGAAAGUAAUACAGGGAUGGUACUUAAUCAAUUGUAUAGUUAAUUGAUGUCAUACAUACUUCUGCUGAUAACUUGGAUGUUAUUUAUAACAUAAUGGUCAAUGACGAUAUUGGAGUACUGUCGGUACCAGAUUUUACCACACAGACAGCAAACAGUGCUAUUUUGUAAAAUUUAAAUGAUACAUAGAUAUAGGAAGAUGUGGUGUGAGUGCCAAUGAGACAACUCUCCAUCCAAAUAACAAUUUAUAAAAGACCAUUAUAGGUCAAUGUACGGCCUUCAUCACGGAGCCUUGGUUCAAACCGAACAACAAGCUAUAAAGGGCCCA